rnacentral:lncRNA from 1 species
AAAUAAGACACCUGGCUAUAUCAGAUGAUCAGUCAUGCUAUAGUCCAUAAACCAAGCUUAUUCAGCAAGGUCGACAAAUAUUACGAAUUUCGGUAAUCUGGGUUGAAGGAGCCACAUUUCACGCUGGGCCGAUGUCUGAGCCUCUUACGCAAAACUACCCAAUAUAUUAAAUUUAAAAGCUACAGCUUUAACAUGAUUUG